CUUCUGCGGUGAUGAGUUAUGAAUGAAAUUCACAUGUCAGACUUCAGAGAUUUUUCUUUUCUCGGAAGGAAAAGUCUAUGAGAAUGAAUAUUCAUAUUCUGAGCCUGAG